CAAUCGAUUUCUCAGACGGACGAUCUGUUAAACCAGAACAGCUUGUAAGGCCCAGCCUUCGUAAAACUGAAGAUACUUACUUUACUAGUUCUCCAAUAAAAUUUACAUCAGGCACCCAAGGGAAGGCCAAAUCAGUUAAAGAAAAGAUACAAGCAACUGUAUCCCAGCGACAAUCAAGAGAUUGCAAUCCUUAUGCUACCUUACCUCGGGCAAGCAGUGUGAUUUCAACGGCGGAAGGAACUACUCGAAGGACAAGCAUUCACGAUUUUUUGUCUAAGGACAGUAGGCAACCGGUAUCAGUUGAUCUGGCACCCUCCGUCGCCGACAGAAGUGUUCCAUCAACCUCUAAUGUGGAAGCUAUCCCAGAAAGCAGAAAUUCAAAAAGCAGGUCUAGGGAGCAACAAAGCUCCUAAUUCUAUUACCCACUACAUGAGAUGUGGGCCAAGUGAGAGAAAAGUGUCCUUCCGUAUCUCAGUGUGAAGCCUUUAUAUCUGAAGUAACAAGACAGCGACUGUAGGAAUCAUUAAUAAAAAUUAAGGGCAUUUUUUACAUUCUUCGUGACUAGAGCAGGCAAGAAAUAAAAAUCUACCUACCUUCCUUCCUUCCUUGAAUCAAGGAGCUCUACUGGAGUCUACUGCCGAAAAUUUGUAGAUGGUCUUAGGAAUUAUUGCACAUUGCACUGUUAAGAUCUACUGAAUAAAGGACAGUUCUCAUCUCCCUAAGGACCAAGAAUUUUAAGGUCUCAAGAAUUACUCCAGGGGAAAAAAAA